UCUCUGGUAGUACAGUGGAUAGUACACUUGCUUUUAUUGGCAAGGGACCAGGGUUCGAUUCCCUGCCAGGGAC
rnacentral:tRNA from 1 species